CACGUAGGGUGCGAGCGUUGUCCGGAAUUAUUGGGCGUAAAGAGCUCGUAGGCGGUGUGUCGCGUCGGCCGUGAAAACCUGCAGCUUAACUGUGGGCUUGCGGUCGAUACGGGCAUCACUGGAGUUCGGCAGGGGAGACUGGAAUUCCUGGUGUAGCGGUGAAAUGCGCAGAUAUCAGGAGGAACACCGGUGGCGAAGGCGGGUCUCUGGGCCGAUACUGACGCUCAUGUGCGAAAGCGUGGGGAGCAAACAGG
rnacentral:rRNA from 1 species